rnacentral:rRNA from 1 species
UACAGAGGUCUCAAGCGUUGUUCGGAUUCAUUGGGCGUAAAGGGUGUGUAGGUGGCGCCGUAAGUCGGGUGUGAAAUUUCGGAGCUUAACUCCGAAACUGCAUUCGAUACUGCGGUGCUUGAGGACUGGAGAGGAGACUGGAAUUCAUGGUGUAGCAGUGAAAUGCGUAGAGAUCGUAAGGAAGACCAGUGGCGAAGGCGGGUCUCUGGACAGUUCCUGACGCUGAAGCACGAAGGCCAGGGGAGCAAACGGG